GUGAUACAGUCCUACUAUCGUGGAUCCCUACAGGACGGAGGUCAUGGACAACUCGUCAAACCCCAUCGUCUGUCAUAUGUCAAGAUUUAUUCGACUUGAGUUCGAUAGUGGAAAACUCUUUUUCCACUUUAUAUUACUGCCUUGGCCAUGGUCUUAGAACUCAGUCUAACAAAUCACAUAGGAUCACUCCUCUUCUAUCAAGGUCGAUAGAUUCCUUAUAGGUGCAUACCCUACUCCUACAGUGAACCUACUGCAGCCAAUCUACACUGCAUGGACCCAUAUGGCUAGAGACCAUGUAUGUGUGCAGUCAAACUACAAUAACCUCACUGUGAGUAGCCGAAGCACCGCAGGUCAAAGGACCAGUCACACUACUGCAACAUCAAGCAAGUCACGGACGAGUGGAUAGACAUCCAAGUGACUUCUUGUCUUGGUCACGCUCAGUACCCUUAUUCUCUAACAAGCACCUGCACUAUCACUUCAGUGUCCCUACACUGUGGACUCAAGUCUCGUCCAUCCGGAAAGAAAGUGAUCUGUGCACUGAUCGGAUCGAUCACCGUCCUCGUGAUGAUCCAUUGAUCAGGAGCAUUUAGAAAUUAAUCACCAAUGAUACAUGGCUCAAAUUCUCAACUCUUGAGAAUAUGUAUCAUUAUCUUAUUAAUUUCUUGGACGAUUCAUAGACACAUAAACAAUAUGAAUGAAAAGAUGCCUUUUAUUUAUUCAAUAAUAAAUAGUCAAGUACAAAAUUAU
rnacentral:lncRNA from 1 species